GACGACCCGCUGCCGCCGGUCCAGGUUCUCCUUCAGCUCCCAGGCGUCUUCGGUUUGACGGAGGAGCAGAGAGCGUUUGUGAUGGAGGGAAUCCUGACGAAGAGGAGGAGACGAGGUUUCAACAGUUGAUUCAAAACAGGCGUUCCUGCACCAACGCCUCCACGCUCGCCCCCAGCUCCUGGUGAUGCUUCUGCUCCUCGCUCAGCGCCUCCUUCUCCUGCCGCAGAGCGUCCACGCUGCUCCUCAGAGCCUCACACAGCUCCACCUGGUGGACAAGGAGGGAGAUUCCCAGGAGUUUCACUUGUCAAGACUGAAGAUGAGCCGGACUGGACCUCAGAGACAAAUCAGAACACAAGAAAAUCGCAGACCCGCCGGUAUGAGCUCCUGUUUUCAUCUUCCAUCUGUAAUAUUUGUUCAUAUUUAUUAAAUUCUUUAAUUGUC